UACGGGAGGGGGCUAGCGUUGUUCGGAAUUACUGGGCGUAAAGCGCACGUAGGCGGAUCUUUAAGUCAGGGGUGAAAUCCCAAGGCUCAACCUUGGAACUGCCUUUGAUACUGGGGAUCUCGAGUCCGGAAGAGGUUGGUGGAACUGCGAGUGUAGAGGUGAAAUUCGUAGAUAUUCGCAAGAACACCAGUGGCGAAGGCGGCCAACUGGUCCGGAACUGACGCUGAGGUGCGAAAGCGUGGGGAGCAAACAGG
rnacentral:rRNA from 1 species